CACCAAUCAAGCAGCUGUCUUCUUUCCCGUGUCUAAUCAGACAAGGGUCAUCUGUCACAGAACUAUCCAAUCAGCAUUAAGGUGCCGAGUACAAAAGGCUGCUCAAAGAGAGAGUUUUUCUGACCAACAACAUUCUACUUUAUUGAGGAUUUGGAUGUGAGAGAGAUAUAUAUAUGGAAAGCUGACAUUUGGCUGUGGGAGCAGAAGUAAAAAGAGACACGGCGAGACGGACCUGAGAACCAGUUUCCAGACCCUAUUUAUUGAUGACACUGUCCUCUCCUAAUUGUGUGUAUUUUGCACCUUUUUCAAAAAUCAAUGGACUAUAAAUGGGUUAUAAAGACUGUGACUUCUGCCUUGCUGAUAUUCUCUCUCCCUGGGUCAUCUCCUGUGCUUGCUUUGAUGGAAAGACCUACCAGGAAAGCCUCUUGCAAACAGCCAGCAACAAAGUGAGGUUCUCAGUCCAGUAGCUUGUGAGAAACUGUAUCAUGCUAGCAACCAUGGAGUGAAAUUGGAAGUGGAUGCUACUUCAGUUGAAUGUUAAGAUGACUGCAGCCUGGGCUGACACCGUAAUAACAGUCUCAUGAAGACUCUGAGGCAGAGGACCCACCUAGAUGAACUGUGCCUGAAUUCUUGACCUACAAAAACUGAAGCUACCAAAGGGCGCUGGAUUGAUGGUGUCACCUACUGACCAAAAUCCAAACCACCAGGACACAAUCACCUCCUCUCUGGGGCUCUCAAAGUCAGUACACAGGAAUUAUCAACGAAUUUCACCCUUCACCCAGUUUCAAUGAGCUCACCUAUGAAUGUAAACUAGAAAUCACAAGUCCCAUGUGAGAAGAAAAGACCUGGGGAGCCAUGUAAGAGUGGGGAUGAAGUGAGGAGACAACAUCCUUAUCAAUGUCUGACUUCUAUACUUUUCAGUCCUUAAGGCUUUGCUUUCAAUCUGCCCUGUGGGGAUCCCCGAGAAAUCUUGGAAGCUGUGUUACUGGCGAUGAUGGGACAAGAGAUUGGACACACCUCGUUAUACCCCCUCGUCACUAACUGACAUUAAGUAUUGCUUCUUAUGGAUUAAACAGAAACGAGCCAUUCUGAAAGACUCCACACCAAUAUCAACAAACUCCCUGAUGCUUUCCCUCCCUGUCUGCAGUUUCAACACAACUAACCAGUACUUCUCUCUUAUAAGACCAUCAACCACUGAGUGGUUCUGGCAAGUCUAUGGAGGAUGCACAGUGAGGUUUUUUUUUGUGUCCUGUUUUUCACCUUUUGACAUCAGAGGGCCAAAAUCUCUACCCUCAAAUCAUGCUAAUGCUGCCAUGGGACCCAUGGAGAGGCAUGAAGCUCAAUUGUACAUAUGCAUGCUUGUCCUUUCAUAAAUAUGCAUUACUCCUCUUAUAGCUUAUGAAUAUGCAUAUUUGGCCACCCCAUUCAGCAUAAAUCCCUGUCUUGUUCUCCCAAUCCUUGAAGUGCCUGUUUAUAGCCUCUAGGCCAGAGACUAUGCUUCCCAGCCUGUCAGAAUGGCCACCCUGCAGACUGCAAGCCAUUAUGAGAAAUAAAGCACUCUUUUUAAAAUUUAUGAACCUUGUCAUUCUUCAGUUGACAGUUUUAAGCUGAUAGAAAGAACUAUUAGUACUACUUUUAUGCUUAACAUUACAAAAUGUUUUUCUUUGUAGGAGGGAAAUCACAGGUAAAAUACAUCUUCAAAGGCAACCUAAAAUAGAAACAGU
rnacentral:lncRNA from 10 species